rnacentral:lncRNA from 12 species
CCUGAAUCUGCCCUCGGAGCAGCUGCAUGCGAGAGGCACUUUGAAGGUUGUUGUUGUUGUUUGUGGUGGGGGAGCCCCCAGAAACCUCGGCUGCCGCCAGUAAGCCCCGGGGUGCUCAGUGCUGCACAGAGAGAGGAUGAAAAGGUGGUCCUGUCCUGAAAGGGCAGGAGGCAGAGCAAGGAGAGGGAGGCAGCAAGGAGAGAUGGCAGCAUGGGGAGACCAGACAAUGUACAGGAGCUUUGGGGAUUGUUUUUUGUACAAACAGAGCAUCCUGACUCUGGAGGAGUUGUUCAGGGCUGGACCAAGGGGACUUAGCUCUGAGAAAAAAAAACUUUGUUCCUUGGCUAUGGAGCAGCAGAACAUGAGGGACAUGACUGAAGGAGGGCUUGAUUAUCCAAAAGCCCACCUGCUUUUCCAAAUGUACCAGGUAACCACAACCAUUACCAGGUGAUAACAAACAUUACCUUUCCUAAUUAAAUCAUGGCUUUGGGAUGAGCAUCAAUCUAGCUAUGGAACCCCCCAAAUCCUCAUAUUAUAGUUAGCUAGCAUACUAAGAUGGACUUCUGCCUUCCAUACAAAGACAAAUUUGGUCUCUUAGACCACAUUUGGAUUGGUUACUAUCCCAGUGGUUCAGGAAAUCCAAGAAGCAAAGGAG